UACGUAGGGGGCAAGCGUUGUCCGGAUUUAUUGGGCGUAAAGAGCGUGUAGGCGGUUUGGUAGGUCCGCUGUGAAAGCUCGAGCUCAACCUCGAGACGCCGGUGGAAACCAUCAGACUAGAGUCCGGAAGAGGAGAGUGGAAUUCCUGGUGUAGCGGUGAAAUGCGCAGAUAUCAGGAAGAACACCCGUGGCUAAGGCGGCUCUCUAGUACGGUACUGACGCUGAGACGCGAAAGCGUGGGGAGCGAACAGG
rnacentral:rRNA from 1 species